rnacentral:rRNA from 1 species
AUGGCCUCCGCCGUGCCGCCCUCCUCCUCCGCUGUCAAGAUCCUCCCCAACGCCUUUUUCCCCCGCUCUCACCACCACCCUUCGGCCUGCACCUCCCUUCGCUCUAAGAACCGUACCAGCACCCGCGUCACCUGCGCAGCUGGCCGUCGAUCCCACGCCCUCCCCUCCGCCGGCGACGGAAACGGUUGUAACAAUGGCGGCGGCGGCGGCGGCGGAGAUGACUCCGAAGGCGGCGGCAACGGAGAUGGCUCCGACGGCGGCGGCAACGGAGAUGGCUCCGACGGCAACCGCGGGGCGGCGCUGUUCGCGCGGCCACAGGAUUGGUGGAGGGCCGACCUGGUGGCGGCGGUGGAGGCCCCGCAGCUGCUGUGCUUCGAGAGCCUCCUCACGGACGACGUUUUCCCCGUCAGGACCGCCGCGGCAAUCAGCUUCAACGCAAUAGCAAAGACUGCAGCAGAGUAUGAAAAGAGAGGGGAGAAUUUUAUCAAAGAGAUUGACAUCGUCAUCGCUGAUGCGGUUAAGGCAAUAGCUACAAAUUUUACGCUUGUCUAUCUACCAACUAGUAUAUCUCUGCAGCCACCACUUGGGAACAAGAUUGCUUUGGUUGCAAGAUUGUACUUAUAUCUGAACGGGCUAGUAACAAUUGCGAGUACCGGCCCAAAGUUUUUCACAGUUGGAGCCAGUGCUUCUCCGCCUUCCCAGAUUGACGCUGGUGUGCCCCAAGCACCAAUCAUAACAAGGAAGGCUUUCAUCCAGGAACUUGAUGACAAAGCUGUGGAAAAGAAGUGGUCGUCAUACUUUGAAGUUAAAGCAGAGGUCUCAGCUGGGACAACUCCCGCAAAGGCUACAGCACUUUGGUCAUACAGUUCGUCUGGAGAAUCCCAGGGGAAUUCGUCUGGACAAUCCCGAGAGAAUGGAACAGCCUAA